rnacentral:rRNA from 1 species
GACGAACGCUGGCGGCGUGCUUAACACAUGCAAGUCGAACGGUGAAGCGCCUUCCUUUUUGGUGGGUGUGGAUGAGUGGCGAACGGGUGAGUAACACGUGAGUAACCUGCCCCCUUCUUCUGGAUAACCGCAUGAAAGGGUGGCUAAUACGGGAUAUUCUGGGUCUGUCGCAUGAUGGGUCUGGGAAAGAUAUUGUUUCGGUGGGGGAUGGGCUCGCGGCCUAUCAGCUUGUUGGUGGGGUGAUGGCCUACCAAGGCGGUGACGGGUAGCCGGCCUGAGAGGGUGGACGGUCACACUGGGACUGAGACACGGCCCAGACUCCUACGGGAGGCAGCAGUGAGGAAUAUUGCACAAUGGGGGCAAGCCUGAUGCAGCGACGCCGCGUGAGGGAUGGAGGCCUGCGGGUUGUGAACCUCUUUCGCCAGUGAAGCAGGCCUGCCUCGUUUGUGGGUGGGUUGACGGUAGCUGGAGAAGAAGCGCCGGCUAACUACGUG